rnacentral:rRNA from 1 species
UACGUAGGGAGCUAGCGUUGUCCGGAAUCAUUGGGCGUAAAGCGCGCGUAGGCGGCCCGGUAAGUCCGCUGUGAAAGUCAAAGGCUCAACCUUUGAAUGUCAGCGGAUACUGCCGGGCUAGAGUCCGGAAGAGGCGAGUGGAACUCCUGGUGUAGCGGUGGAAUGCGCAGAUAUCAGGAAAAACACCAACGGCGAAGGCAGCUCGCUGGGACGGAACUGACGCUAAGGCGCGAAAGCGUGGGGAGCGAACAGG